UACGGUCAGGUCACGUUGAAAUAACGGUUCCCGUACGAUCACCGAAGUUAAGCAAAGUCGAGCCUGGUCACUAUCUAGAUGGGUGACCGCCUAGGAAUGUCAGGUGCUGAAA